rnacentral:rRNA from 1 species
UACGGAGGAUCCGAGCGUUAUCCGGAUUUAUUGGGUUUAAAGGGUGCGUAGGUGGAUUGGUAAGUCAGUGGUGAAAGUUUGCAGCUUAACUGUAAAAUUGCCGUUGAAACUGCCGGUCUUGAGUGCAAAUGAGGUAGGCGGAAUGCGUCGUGUAGCGGUGAAAUGCUUAGAUAUGACGCAGAACUCCGAUUGCGAAGGCAGCUUACUGGGAUGCAACUGACGCUGAGGCACGAAAGCGUGGGUAUCAAACAGGAUUAGAUACCCCCGUA